rnacentral:misc_RNA from 1 species
UACGUAGGAUGCAAGCGUUGUCCGGAAUUAUUGGGCGUAAAGCGCGCGCAGGUGGUUCUUUAAGUCUGAUGUGAAAGCCCCCGGCUCAACCGGAGAGGGUCAUUGGAAACUGUGGAACUUGAGUACAGGAGAGGAAAGUGGAAUUCCACGUGUAGCGGUGAAAUGCGUAGAUAUGUGGAGGAACACCAGUGGCGAAGGCGACUUUCUGGCCUGUAACUGACGCUGAGUCGCGAAAGCGGGGGGAGCAAACAGG